UAUUGGUCAAUAGGGUAACGGCUGAACCAGCAACUUGGAGGAAUGUAUAGGGAAAACUGGUAAAAUGUGAUGUACCUAGUAGUAUUAGUGAUUAAUACGAGAUUAACUUAGUUAAUUAAAAUUCAAAGUAGAUAUAUGAUUAUGACAUUAUCUGCUUAUGUCUUGACCAAGUCACGUGCCAGCAGUCGCGGUAAUACGUGGAAGAUUAGUGUUAUUCAUUUUUAACAGGUUUAAAGGGUACCUAGACGGUUUUUUAAGCACAAAAAUGAACUAAAAAACUAGAGUUUAAUGUAAGAAGGAUUGAGUACGGUGAGUGUAGAGAUAAAAUUCUGUAAUACCACUUAGGAACUGGUAAAGGCGAAGGCAACCUUCUAUGUAAAAACUGACGUUAAGGGACGAAGGCUCGAAUUAAAAAAUAGGAUUAGAUACCCUAGUAUUGUGGGCAGAAAAUGAUGAGUGUCAUAUGCAAAAAAAUUUUUUUGUGUAUAAAUGAAAGUGUAAGCACUCCACCUCAAGAGUAACGUGGCAACAUGGGAACUGAAAUCAUUAGACCGUUUCUGAAACUCGUAGUGAAGUAUGUUGUUUAAUUUGAUAACCCACAAAUAACCUUACCACAAUUUGAAUAACUAUAAGUUAAUAUAGUAACAAGUGUUGCACGGCUGUCUUCAGUCAAUGUUGUGAAACAUUGGUUAGAUCCAUUAAAUUGACGUAAACCCUUACUUUAUUUAUUAUAAAGUAGUUCGCCACUAUAUUGGUAGUGAUAUAAGGGACCAAGACAAGUCAUCAUGACCUGAACAUAGUGGGCUAUAGNCGUGCC
rnacentral:rRNA from 1 species